UACGAAGGGGGCUAGCGUUGCUCGGAAUCACUGGGCGUAAAGGGUGCGUAGGCGGGUCUUUAAGUCAGAGGUGAAAGCCCAAGGCUCAACCUUGGAACUGCCUUUGAUACUGUUUGGCUUGAGACCGGUAGAGGUAAGUGGAACUGCGAGUGUAGAGGUGAAAUUCGUAGAUAUUCGCAAGAACACCAGUGGCGAAGGCGGCUUACUGGACCGGUUCUGACGCUGAGGCGCGAAAGCGUGGGGAGCAAACAGG
rnacentral:rRNA from 1 species